UGGACGAGUUUGCUCGCGGUGGUC
rnacentral:siRNA from 1 species